rnacentral:rRNA from 1 species
AUUGAACGCUGGCGGCAGGCCUAACACAUGCAAGUCGAACGAGUGGCGGACGGGUGAGUAAUGCUUGGGAAUCUCCCUUAUGGAGGGGGAUAACUACGGGACACUGUAGCUAAUACCGCAUACCAUCUUAUGAGCCCAAGUGGGAUUAGAUAGUUGGUGAGGUAAAGGAUCACCAAGCCGACGAGCCCUAGCGGGUCUGAGAGGAUGACAAGCCACGCUGGAACUGAGACACGGUCCAGACUCCUACGGGAGGCAGCAGUGGGGAAUAUUGCACAAGGGGGGCAAGCCUGAUGCAGCCAUGCCGCGUGAAUGAAGAAGGCCUUCGGGUUGUAAAGUUCUUUCAGCAGCGAGGCGUUACCGGCAGAAGAAGCACCGGCUAACUCCGUGCCAGCAGCCGCGGUAAUUC